rnacentral:miRNA from 1 species
GAGGUAGUAGGUUGUAUGGUU